CUCGAUCGCCAUGAUCGUGCUUGUCCUCGCCGCGCGACGAUUCACGCGGCAGUCCAACAAAGUCGAAAAAGCCGUCCCAAAGCCGCGGAUCGGCCAUGUCAAAGCCCUGGGGCGCGUCGGUCAGCGGUCGCAGCGGCUCGGGACCCAGGAGCCGGGCCAUGGCGUCAAAGGGGGUAUACUCGGCAGCCAUCCGUGUGUAGGGGCGUGCGGGUCAGGGCGCUUUGACGUCGCUCGAUAGGUCGCGCUCGACUUUCCUUGAGGGUCCGACGACAAAAAAAAGGCGGCUGCCACCGUUUCGACGUGGGCCAAACUGAGCGAGCAUGCGGCGCCAACUCGGUCACGCGCCUGACCCAAGGGAGCGCGCAAGAGCGCCGAACCCAACCGGACGGCCACGCUCCGCACACAUGUACCAAAGCGAUAUUGCCCACAAGAGCGACAACAAAAGGGAAUACAAAACAGUGCUCGCUUCAACCAAAUCCGCCGCAUGUAGACAAAACACUGUCCUCUUUUUUUUUUGGCGCCCACACCAGCCCAGGACGACCGCGCCUGGGGCUCAUUCGGCCAAAGGAUGAAAAAAAGUCGAUUUCGAUUGGAUCAAACAAUAGA
rnacentral:lncRNA from 1 species